rnacentral:rRNA from 1 species
UACGUAGGGACCAAGCGUUGUUCGGAUUUACUGGGCGUAAAGGGCGCGUAGGCGGCGCGGUAAGUCACUUGUGAAAUCUCUGAGCUUAACUCAGAACGGCCAAGUGAUACUGCAGUGCUAGAGUGUGGAAGGGGCAAUCGGAAUUCUUGGUGUAGCGGUGAAAUGCGUAGAUAUCAAGAGGAACACCUGAGGUGAAGACGGGUUGCUGGGCCAACACUGACGCUGAUGCGCGAAAGCGUGGGUAGCAAACAGG